UGCAGAUUUGAUCUCCAAUCUGGAGUACAUCAGUCUGAACGAAAGCUUGAUUAUAAAUUCCAUUGGAAUGAAAAGGUUUAUAUGUUUCCAUCGUUGGAGGUGCUUAAUAGUAAAGGAUUACAAGUAUUGGAGGAUUGGUUUGAUGGAGCAGAUGCAGCAGCAUAUGACUGUUUCUAUCCUUGCUUAACUGAACUCUUCCCCACCUCAAGUCGUUGUACCUUUGUAACGUGCCAAAAGCAAAGCGGCUUGCUUGUAAAUUCCAUGGGAAUGACAAGGUUUAGGUGUUUCCAUCGUUGGAGGUGCUUAAUAGUAAAGUAUUACAAGUAAUGGAGGAUUGGUUUGAUGGAGCAGGUGCAGCAACAUAUGAUUGUUUCUUUCCUUGCUUAACUGAACUCUUCCCCACCUCAAGUCGUUGUACCUUUGUAACGUCCCAAAAGCAAAGCAGCUUGAUUGUAAAUUCCAUGGGAAUGACAAGGUUUAUGUGUUUCCAUC